rnacentral:rRNA from 1 species
UACGAAGGGGACUAGCGUUGUUCGGAUUCACUGGGCGUAAAGGGUGCGUAGGUGGCGAGGUAAGUCGGAUGUGAAAGCUCGGAGCUCAACUCCGAAAUGGCAUUGGAAACUACCUUGCUCGAGGGUUGGAGGGGGGGACUGGAAUACUUGGUGUAGCAGUGAAAUGCGUAGAUAUCAAGUGGAACACCAGUGGCGAAGGCGGCCAGCUGGGCCAGAUCCGACACUGAGGCGCGAAAGCGUGGGGAGCAAACAGG